UCAGACAUCAGCUGCCCCAUCAAGUGUGUCCUCGGUUUUCUAGGAUGUAAUUCGUGUAGGGCAGAACACUUGGACUCAAUACGGACAACAGAGCGUCUGUUCACUACCCCUCGCUUCACUCCCUCUUACACUUGGUGAGAGUGGCGACAGAACUUCAUUUGCCGAAUCCGCUGCUGCAUCCCCCCUGUCUGACUUUGGCAGGGGCUAAACGACUAUUUGCCAAAUGAAUGGAUUUAAGUAGGGAAAGUUUUCUUAGAGUCAUUUUGCUCUUCUUGGAGUUGAAGUCUUUAGGUGUUCUACCCUUACCAAUCUAAAAGAAAAUUCUCGAAAGAUAUGGGGGAAAACAAGAACGUUAAGCAUUUUGCUUCAUUUUAACAAUUGUUUGUUGAGCACUUACUAUGUAGUAUGGAAUAGGAUGAUGAGCAAAACGGUGUGAUUUCCGGCACUUAAAGUGGCUGAAAUGCAAUGUAAAAAAUAAUUACUUUUAAAGGGGGAAUAAUUAUCAACUGAGAGAAGUGCACUACGGAAAGGAAGAAUAUUCUGCGACGGGGUAAAAUAAAAGAUCCUGGGGGCUGGAGGGCAAAGUACCAAUCAUUAACUGCUCCGAAGUAUCAGUAUGAAUUAAUUUGAUUAAAAGAUGAAGAUGAAGUGGUGGAGUAGGAACAGUGUUUGGGAGAAAAGUCACUGCAGAAAAUCCAUGAAUUUCAACAGAAGUGCUUGGUUAAGAUGAGGCCAUACUGGAGGAGGCUGGGCCCACAAUCCCAUAUGACAAAUAUCCUUACAAGGGGCAGACACAGCCAUGAGCAGAGGACAUCAUGAAAUGAUGGAGAGAAACUGAAGGGCUGCAUCUGCCAGCCAAGAAACGCCAAGGGUUUGUGCCCACCACCAGAAGCUAGGAAGAGGUACUUGUGGCUGGUACAAAGGAAGAAGUCUCUGCCUUCAGAGCCUUCUGACAGCUGGAGGAAAUGCUGCAAGUGAGACAGUCAUGACCCUGUGUGCCACACUGUGUGAAACUCUUUUUCAGGAUUUUUCUGAUGUGAUCCUUUCUCCCUGCUCCUCCACUGUUGCCUUCUCUGCUGAACUUCACUCCCAAUGGAACUUAUAUUAUGGGUCCCUUAAUGUAAGGGAAAAGGGCAGCACCCCGAUUUCCCUGCUAGAUUGACGUGGCUCAUGGGGGACCUCCCUCACCCCUGCCCUGGCUUGUUUCCCUUGAAGAGUUUAGUGUGUUUAUCUGUUUACCCUGUGUGCUUCCUACGGAGGUCAAUAAUGCUGUAAAUGGAGGAGAGCUCCAGAUUCAGUCAAGCAAAUUACAGAAUAUUGAAAAGGUCAUAGCAGUAAAGUACAUUACUAUAAUCCACAGAAUAUAUGAGGCAUUAAAAUCCUAAUGCCUUGACUUUUGAUCAGAAUUUAUAGGAGAUGAGAAGAAUGAACUACCUCAGGGCAUUUUUAUGGCCAAAAUUAAAGCAGGGGUGGAAUCACUUAACCCCUGCCAGCGGUCUUAAAUUCACUGAACUACCUUCUGGCUCAUCGGAUUCCGUCUCUGUGGAACUCUGCGGGGAGCCAUUAUUGCUUUGGCUGGAGACAAACCUUUCCUGGAGACAAAAGGAGAGAGAGAUAUGGGUGAUAACAGAACAAGCUGCUAAGACAUUGUCUCACGUUGGAGGCCAGGCUGAUGGCAGGCAAUGCUGAUGGUUUCUUAAUGGUACCGGGCACCUGACCCUGAGUCUAUGAUGGUGACUGGCUCAAAUCCAUGACCUGUCCUUCCAUUGCCCUUCCAUGCAUGACCUGAGCUUCCAUGAGCUCUAUGUAGAUUUUAUUCUUUUGUACCACACCAGGCAGAAGUGGUUAUUACUAAAGAUGGUGGCUUCACAGCCCAGAGAGUGGACAGAGGGAAACAUGAAGCUAUGUGGAUAUCUCACAUCCAGAAAAGUCUUCAAUACCCACAGGAGUGCUGGGUCAGUUAUGAGAUCUGAUUUGGAGAUAUUUCUGGUGAAUGUUCCAAUGAAAAAUUGCCUAGGAAAGAGCUUAUUCACCUGCAAAAACCUGAUUACUAAAAUUAGUAGGUGUUACUGUCUAAUCUAACCUUUCGCCAAACUUGAAUUACUGUGCUAUGUGAGAAGCGCCAUCAAGGGAAGAAUCAGAGGGAACUAACAAACAUUUUAUGUAACAUGCCAGACAUUAAGAGCCCUACGAAGUGGUUUAUUGUAUACAGCAUGCAAGCUACGGCAGCCCCAAGAAGUGGUAUUAUCCCUAUUUUACAGAUAGGAAAGCUGAGAUUUAGAUAGGUUACGAUAAUUGUACAAUGUUGUAAGAUGUGAAAUGUCAGGAUCAAAAUGCAACGUGGAUCUGCUGAGCUCCAAAACCCACCCUUGAUCUAACGCACACAACGCUGAAUGCAGUACCUUCCCUGUGGGAGACACCAGUGGACUUGGGGGCAGCCUUCAUUCAAAAGCCAUCACCUUCACCUUUUGAUCCCGGGGACGCAGCACAAGCCCCAGACCUUGCUCCUCAUCCCUUUCAAAUAGUCAGAAAGUGCAUCUCUGCUCAUCUGAGCCGUGUCAUUUCUGAGUUGCCUGGGAGCUAUAGGAAAACAUCAUUAACUCAAUCCGUGUUAACCUGAAAUGGUGAAAAUAAAAAUAGCAUCUUGGAGUCCACUUCCCUAGAUUCCUGUUAUUUCAUACAAAAUUUUUA